rnacentral:lncRNA from 1 species
AUGGCUUUAGAAUUGGACCAGCCGCAUCCUGGAUUCAUGACAGCCUCUGACCCCUACUCCCAGAGCCCUGCCUUUUUUAAUAUGUGUAUGUACUCACCCACGAAUGCAUUCCUCUACUUAACACCUGUUCCUUUUUCCUCCCAAUGUCAUGAUUUGGAGUUAGACAUCUUAUUUCUCUCUCUCUUUUUAAUCCUUUCGUGGAACCUCAGUGCCCGGGAGCAGAUGACUCGAAGCCCCUCCUGCCAAUGCUCCCAUCUGGGCCCAGGGAUGUCCGCUGCUCACUCAUCCCUUUGGUGGUCCCUCUGCUUUCUUUCGUUUGGGCAUUUACUUAUCUACACGGGCCCAGAGUCGGAAAACUUUAGGCUAAAGUUAACCCUCAUCGUUGGUUCCCUGGGUCCUUUUCCAGCUCAUCUUUUUCCAGAACUCUCCGUCUGCAGGUUCUUCCCUUUUUUGUGCCGGGAGUAUGCAUUUGGAGUCAUCCUAAUGCUUGGCUCAUAAUCACGUGACCCUGUCCUCCAUAGAGACUUCCUCGCCCCCUAAUUUUAAAAAUACUCAUUUUGGGGGCUCUCUCCGUGCCUCCCCCUUUCAGUCACUCCCUCCCUCUCCUGCACCGUCUCCCCGCUGGGCCUCAUCAUCUCAUUGUCACCCCUGGUUUACGCGUGUCCACCUCUAACUCAUUCUUUCUUCCAUCUAGGUUUUAUCCUUUAAUGACAAACUUCAGGUGCCCGAUACCCAAAGUUCACGGGUCUCUCCGCCCACGAUGACCUGACCUUGCUUCCGACGUGGCCCUAUGUCUAUCCCGAGUCCCGACUUCCUGACACAACCACUGACGUCCUGGGCAUCGGUUGGCUCUCACUCAGGGCACACUCUCACCCGGGCUUGAUUCCUUCUCUCCCUGUUUCUCUGUUUGCUCAUUCCUGCAUGCUUUCAUCCACGGAUGCAUCCAUUCGCUUGUUUGGACCAGGUCACACCUCCCAGCCGUGACCUCCCAACCAGAAUAGAACCUUCACAGUAUCUCUGACCUCCCAGCUCCUCCCACUGAAUUAACCGCCCAGGUGCACACAACCCACGGUCCCCAACACAUACGCAUGGCAGGUGCAGGCGCAGGCACAGGAAAUGUUAGUGCAGCCAGAACCCGCCCCCACCGCCCCAGGGGCUCAUAUCCUACACAGAGGGGGUGGGGGUGGGUGGGGGUGGCAGAUCUGCAAUUAGGGCGGGAUGCCCCAGUCCCCGCUUCCCCAGGCCCCCUUCGGGGGGGCAGGCGCUUCCCCCUGGACCCCUGUGAAUGGCCAUCCCCAGGAGAAACCCGUUUCAAGACCCGAGAGCACACAGACACACACACGGCGGACACCGUCUCCCCGGUGGCCAACGACGGACAGAGUUCAUCUUAAAAUAGACGGCUUUGUCUGGAGCGAUAUAAAAAUAUUUUGGCCUUUCAGGGCAAAUACAAAAGGAACUACCCAUUAGCACUGCUGAGUGUCUCAGUCCCAAACAAUAAAGAACUUUGAAGAGGUUUAGCCGGAAACUUU